rnacentral:tRNA from 1 species
GGAGUUGUGGCUCAGUGGUAGAAUAUCUACUUUGCAUGCAGAAGGUCCCAGGUUCAGUCCUCAGUAUCUGCA